rnacentral:rRNA from 1 species
CGAACGCUGGCGGCGUGGAUUAGGCAUGCAAGUCGGACGAUCUCUUUCUUUUAGAGGGGGAUAGUGGCAAACGGGUGAGUAACGCGUGGGUAAUUUACCUUUGGGUUCGGGAUAACUUGCCGAAAGGCAAGCUAAUACCGGAUAAGACCACAGUUUCACAGAAACUGCGGUUAAAGGCGGGGAUCCUGAAAAUGGACCUGUCGCCCUUAGAUGAGCCCGCGUCCUAUCAGCUUGUUGGUAAGGUAAAGGCUUACCAAGGCGAUGACGGGUAGCUGGUCUGAGAGGAUGGUCAGUCACACUGGGACUGAGACACUGCCCAGACUCCUACGGGAGGCUGCAGUCGAGAAUCUUUUGCAAUGCCCGAAAGGGUGACAAUGCGACGCCGCGUGAGCGAUGAAGGCCUUCGGGUUGUAAAGCUCUGUCAGCAGGGAUGAAUGCGUAAAGAAUAAUAUCUUCUACGUUUGACGGUACCUGCAGAGGAAGCCUCGGCUAACUCC